rnacentral:misc_RNA from 1 species
GUUGGUUAGAGCGCGCGCUUGAUAAGCGUGAGGUCGGAAGUUCAAGUCUUCCCAGGCCCACCACUUGAUCGAGUGCAUGCGUCUCUCAAGCUCAACCUGUAGCAUUCGUCUUCUGGUUACGGGGCCAUAGCUCAGCUGGGAGAGCGCGUGCUUUGCAAGCAUGAGGUCGUCGGUUCGAUCCCGUCUGGCUCCACCAGAUGAAGUCGAAGAUCGACGAUGCAUGCUGUUGUAAUCGUCGCCAAGUCGUCCGCGAAACAUCAAUUCGCGCGCAUCAUCCGCAAUCGGAUGUGCGUUGCGUGUUUUCUGACAUCGUAAAGAGGAGAUCGAUCCGAGUUGGGUCGCAUGGAAAUUCUAUGCGCAUCCUUCACUAUCUCCAGAUCAUUUCGGCGCUCGCGUCUUUUGCAGGCUAACACCUGCGGGAUAUGCGGGUUGUAAAUGAUCUUGUUAGCGAAGCCUGACCGCCUCGCUAUCGGUUCGAUCUUACGAAGCAAGCUGGUCUUUCUAAUCAGUGUCCGCUGCGCGAACUCUCCUGGUGAAGGUUCGUGCGGUAUACAUUCUGCCGAGUGUGUGGACAUUGAUAAUGAGAGCAAUCAAGUGCCUUAAGGGUGUUCGGUGGAUGCCUUGGCGCUGAGAGGCGAUGAAGGACGUGCUACGCUGCGAUAAGCCGUGGGGAGCUGCGAAGAAGCUUUGAUCCACGGAUUUCCGAAUGGG